rnacentral:rRNA from 1 species
AUUGAACGCUGGCGGCAUGCUUUACACAUGCAAGUCGAACGGUAACAGGCCGCAAGGUGCUGACGAGUGGCGAACGGGUGAGUAAUGCAUCGGAACGUGCCCAGUCGUGGGGGAUAACGCAGCGAAAGUUGCGCUAAUACCGCAUACGAUCUAUGGAUGAAAGCGGGGGACCGUAAGGCCUCGCGCGAUUGGAGCGGCCGAUGUCAGAUUAGGUAGUUGGUGGGGUAAAGGCUCACCAAGCCGACGAGCUGUAGCUGGUCUGAGAGGAAGCCCAGCCACACAGAGACUGAGACACGGCCCAGAAGCCUACGGGAGGCAGCAGUGGGGAAUUUUGGACAAUGGGCGCAAGCCUGAUCCAGCAAUGCCGCGUGCAGGAAGAAGGCCUUCGGGUUGUAAACUGCUUUUGUACGGAACGAAACGGCUCUGGUUAAUACCCGGGGCUAAUGACGGUACCGUAAGAAUAAGCACCGGCUAACUACGUGCCAGCCGCCGCGGUAAAAC